rnacentral:rRNA from 1 species
UCCGUAGGUGAACUGCGGAAGGAUCAUUGUCNAAUCCUACAGAGCAAACGACCGUGAACAAGUUACUUAACCGCGAGUUGUGCGUCGGCUUGGGAAACCUCGUAGGCGUGCAACCGCAAAAAACCCUAACUCUCGGCGCGAGUUGCGCCAAGGAAUACUCAAAAUGGAUUGCCAGUCUCUCCGUGGCUUCCACGGGAAAGGCAAGGCGUCUUGUCGUUUAACCUUAACGACUCUCGGCAACGGAUAUCUAGGCUCUCGCNUCNAUGAAAAACGUUNCGAAAUGCGAUACUUGGUGUGAAUUGCAGAAUCCCGUGAACCAUCGAGUUUUUGAACGCAAGUUGCGCCCGAAGCCAUUAGGCUGAGGGCACGUCUGCCUGGGCGUCACGCAUCUCGUUGUCACCCCACCAACACGUUGUUAGGAUGGGUUGACGGAUGUUGGCCUCCCGUGCCCUCGCGGCGCGGCUGGCCCAAAUGCAAUUGCUCGGCGCGAGACGUCACAACAAGUGGUGGUUGAACUCAUCAACUCGUUUGCUGUCGCAACUUUGCCCCGUGCGUGCUUCAAAAACCCUCAAGCUCUCGGCUCUGAACGGAGUCAAGGGCCUUCGACCGCAACCCCAGGUCUGGCGGGAUUACCCCCUGAAUUUAAGCAUAUCAAUAAGCGGAG